rnacentral:lncRNA from 1 species
CGCCGAUGUCGUUGAGGGAAACAGCGCAGCGGGGCCAGCUCAGGCGCAGCUGCCGUUCCCGGCGGGCGAGGGGCGCAGAGGGCGGCGGCGGCGGCGGCGGCGGCGGCCGAGGAGACCGGGCUGGGCCCGGCGCGCGGCGAGGUGCCAGAGUUUGCAGCCUGUUGGGGAAAACCAACAUCAAGGACCAGUGCUUUGAAUGGACUACAGCCCAAUGGGUCUGUCCCAGUGCUGCUCCUUUACUGAGACAGCACUGCGGAGUGCCACCCUGCUUGCUAUGCACAGCUGCUCUGUGGAUUGAAGAUGAAGAUUCGGUGGAGUGAAGGACUGGAGGACUCCUGUGACAUUUUACUGCAGGCAGGGAAGGUGAGUAGUGUGGGAAAAAGGAAUGGCAGAAACCACGGCCAAGAUCUGUCUGGACUUCAGGGGACUCGUGCACAUGAGCUUGGCAUUCUCUCAGGGUAUAGAUCUUGUUUUAUUUUUCCUCAUUUCCCAGAUCUGAUGCAGGCUUUGCCUGACAGUUAACAAACGGUGUCAAGUGGGUGUGCAGUGUGUGCUGUAGGAAAUAAGGGCUCACUAGGACCCUGCUGGACAGGCCUCCCACCGGCUCCCACUUCUCUGGAGGGCCUAGCAGACAGCCACCAGCAGGAGCAGCCUCUCAGGACGCCCAGAGCUGCUGCCUGCCAGCCCUUCGCACACGAGCCCUGCUGACAGGGCUCAGACAGGGUUCCUUUCUCCUCUCCAAGCUGAACGUGGCCAGUCCACAGUUCCUUAACAUACUGACUGUCCCUCCAGUCUGGAGAGGCACAGAAGGAUCCAGGUGUCGUCUGGACAGGCAGAGCAUGGAUGAGGAUUGAAGAUUUAGGUCUGCAUGCUUCCUUCGGCCGUCAGUGUGGCUUCCAGUGCUGCAGGAAGGCUCAGGGUUGCUGCCCGUUGUCUUUCUUGCUUUGGUGUUCUCGUGGCCUUUAUGUAGGUAUAUUGUGCUAUAAAACCUCAUGUUGUAGGGCUGGGGACUUAGCUCAGUGGUUCUGCCUCUUACCUUGUAAGUGCAAGGUCCUGAGUUCAAUCCCCAAUACCAAAACACCCCCCAAAAACCAAACCUCAUGUUGUAGUUCUUGUGAGCAGAGUAGUUUUCCCUCCACAAUCCUGGAAACUCCCCGAAGGCAGCUGGCUGGUGGUGGGCACUCCAUUAAAUGUUAGCUAGUACUAUUUGCUUUGUUAUUUUCUCAUUGCAAUGGAUGACGUUCAUAUCAUUUAAUGAGCAUGUGCUGUGUGCCAAAAACUGCUCGAUGCUGGAAUGCAGCCCUACCUGCGGAGCUCCCAGGCACUUGGGAAGACUGGUUGAUUGGAUGAUGAAUCCUGGUUGUAGUCCCUGUGAUGAACACCUCUGCUGUCAGACAUCACUGGCUGCCUUCUGUGUGCUCAACUUAGAACGCAUCCUUCCUGUCCUGGAAUAUAAGUGGCUGAAGAAGACACCCCUAUGGGAGAAAAUUCCCUGGACUUUUUAGUGAACUGGCUAGGAGUCGAGUCCUAGCUCUGCUGCAAACCCACUUUGUGCCCAUGGGUGAGUUACUUGACCUCUCUGAGUUUCAGUUAUCUUAUCGAUGGGGUGAAAUGGGGUGAACAAUUAUCCCUCAGAGGCACAAGAGGAUCAAACCAGGUCACCACACUGCAGAAGUCCAUGGCUGCCGUUCACAGUUUAGCCUUUCCAGCCUCUGGUGACUGGGACUCAGGGUGAGCACUCUUUCACCUGCAACCUGAAGUUAAGAGUCAGUAAAAGCAGCUAUUGUUACACAGAAGUUAGGGGGAAGCAGGGGUCAGGGCAGGGCAGUAGGCUGGCCAGGCUUGGCCAGGCUUUGUUCUUCAAGGAAGGGCAGGGCUCUGAGAAGUGUGGACUGUAGUCAGGCGAAGGCCAGGCAGCAAGGACCUCGAGGCAUGUCUAGGAGAAGCGGCUGGGGAGUGAGGGCUCAGCAAGCUGCACAGGGAGUGGGCCCUUCUCUCUAGGAGCAGCCUGGUUAGGACCAAGGUGAGUGCUUCAGGCACCAAGUUGAGAAGAUCCAGACAGCGUCUCGACCAGCACCUUGUCUUCUCAGGCAGACAAGCUGGGAAGUUGUGAGUCUCCAAGGCCACAAGCCCAGGCCCGAGGCCAGAGCCCGGACUCCUGCCUGUGCAGAGGCAAGUCCAAGUCCAGACAGCUCCUCCAGCCUAGUUCAUGGCACUGCAGCAGGGAGCCCUGACUCUUCUCCUAUGUAUAGCUAUAAUUUUUUUCUGAUUGUAAAAGGAAUUUUUAUUUUUUUAUUUAUUAUUUAUUUUUGUUGUUGAGACAGCAUCUUGCUCUGCAGUCCAGGCUGGCCUUGAACUCAAUACUCACUAUGUAGCUGUGGGUGGCCUCAAACUCAUGGCAAUCCUCCUGCCUCAUCCUCCUGAGUGCUGGGAUUACAAGCAUGUGCUACCACAGCCAGUUUGUAAAGGAAUUAUAAAUCACUGUAAUUAUAGGGCUUUUUUUUUUUUUUUUGAGACACGGUUUCACUGUAUAGUUAAGACUGGCCUUGAACUGAUUAUGUAGCCCAGGCUGUCCUCGAACUCAUGGCAAUCCCCCUGCUUCAGCCUCGCAAGUGCUGGGAUUAUAGGUGUGCACCACCAAGCCCUGAAUUGUUUUUUGUUUUUUUGAGACAGAGUCUCAACUAUGGAAGUUCAGGCUGGCCUUGAACUCACUAUGUGGCCCAGGCUGGCCUUGAACUCAUGGUGAUCCUCCUGCUUCAGCCUCCUGAGUGCUGAGAUUACAGACAUGAGCCACUAUGUCUGGCUUGGGCUUUUAAACUAUAGAAAUAUAAAGAAGAAAAUAUAGUCACUUAUAACCCACUAUCCAGGGACCAUGAGUAUUACAGUGUAAUUCCUUUCUCUACAUAUUACACAUAAAACUAUAUAUUAUAUAUUCAUUAGAUUAGAGUUGUAUGUAGUUUCAUGUUCCACCUUUUCCAUAUAAAAUUGUGUGUUUUCUGGGAAGGAAGGACUGUUUUUAAUGCAGACGGAACUCUAGAAAACAUUUUCCUUAAAAACAAAAAAAUAGCGAGCCCAUUCUUCAGCGGCCGGAGGAUAUCCUGUGGAGCAGUGCAGCGCCCGGCCUCCCAUCCUGUGUGAACUGCAAGGCAGCGGCUGUGGCCCUGAGGCCCUCUUCUCUCCCAGGCCAGGCUGCGCCUCCUGCUCACAGUUCUACUUUUCCUAAGCCAAACUGGAGGCCAGGGCACCGAGAACGUCGAGAUGGCAUAUUUCCAGAGUGUGGAGGAGACAGACUGUACCGCAGGAGCCUGGAGCCAGGCCCCAAAGGUUCUGCUGGCUGUCCCAGGGGCCUGCCCUUACGACAGCCCACCCGGGACAUCUCGGAGCUUGUAUCUCUGCUCAUCAGAAGUUGGAGGAGUGGGUUCGAGGGGGCAGCUGUUUCCUAUAAAAAUGUCCAGUAGAGGUAAUGUCCUUGGGACAAACUCUUUUUUUUUCUAUACUGGGGAUGGAACAUACAGCCUUCACUCUGAACUGUAUCCUCAGCUCCCUUUAAAAAAAAAAAUUAUUUUGAGAAAGGGUUUUGAUAAGUGCUAAAUUGCCCAGGGUGGGCUCCAACUUGCAGUGCUGGCCUCCCAAAGUACAGGGAUUACUGCUGGACACGAUGCCCGGUUGGUCAUCCUUUUUUUUGGGGGGGAGGGUACCGGGGAUUGUACUCCAGACCUUGUGCUUUCGAGGCAGGCGCCGGAACCACUGAGCUAAAUCCCCGGCCCUGGUUGGUCAUCCUUUUUGACACCCAAGCUAAGGAGGCUCAUUCUGUGCCUGAGGCUCCAGUGUCUCGCAUUCUGCCCGCUGGAAUACGGUCUCUCAGAGGGGCUGUGGAGCCUCGUGUGGUCGACUCCAACCAAGGUGCAGGCAUUUGGGGAGCGUCGUCCCCAGGUAAUUCCUGUGUGUCCAUUUCCUGUUACUGAGACAAAUUACUAUAAACUUGGUGUCUUAGAAAAACACACAUCUAUUUUCUUAAAGUUCUGAGGGCCAGAAAUCCAAAAUAAGUCUCAGUGGGCUAAACUCAAGGUGUCAGCGGGAAUGUGUUAAUCUCCACCGAGGCUCUGUGCCUGUCCCAGGGUCAAGAGGCUCCACGCGUUCUGCCCUGUGGCUCCUUCCUCUGACUUCAAGUCCAGCAGUGGCUGGUCAGGACUUCCACAUAAUGCCAUCUCUCAGAUUCUACCUCUCCUGCCUCCCUCUUCCCUGUUUAAGGAGCCCAGUGAUUACAUUGGGCCCCCCAGACAAUUUCUCUGUUUCCCACUUCCAGCAACCUUAAUUCUCCAUUGCCACGUAUCAUGGCGCAUCCACAGGUCCCACCCACUUGGACGUGGACAUCUUUAUUCCACCAUGGACCGUUAUUUUGCACACCCAGCCAACCUCUCCUGUGGCUUUUCCAAGGGUCUCAUCCUCAGGCAUAGACAGUGGGCUGGGCCAGACCAGUCGGGAUGUGCCCACCACUGGCAGAGAGGUCCUUUCUGCCCAGACACCCUCCCUGCUUUAGCUCACCUCCUCUUCUCUCAUCCUCUGCUCCCCCUCUGGCGUAGAGGGAAGCUGGUGAGGCUAGAUGCGCCGCGGGAGCCCAGGGAGCUGAGCCCUCCCCGGCCAGACAGCCUGUCUUCCAGGGGCUGGAGCCAGAGCCCAGCCUUUGCGGUCGCGGACUCACAGUCUGAGGGCAGUUGCAGGGUCGGAGGGGCAGGCAGGCACAUAUCGGAGACACACGUAUCCCCUGUGCCUCUCGGCCUCCCUUCCUCAGGUGACAACAGCCUGUCUACCCUCCGGCACUCGGUGGUCCUUUUUGGGGCUGGGACCUUGAGAGGCUCCCAAGGAGGGGAGGCCCCCAUCAAAUCUGUCCCUGGGUACUGGUGAGGACCUGGGGGAUCCAGGACCCCAGCAAGAGGUCUCAUCAGCACAGCAGAGCAAAGCAGGAGGAGCUGGACAGGGCCUUCGGUCUUCAAGUAUGGUGACCAGUUGGGCUUGGUUUGCCUAAGACUUUCCCACUUUGAGCAGUGGGGGUCCAAGCCCUGGAACUCGGUCAGAGCAAACCGAGACAGCUGGUCACCCUGUCUCCAGGGCCUUUAUCACAUUCUCUUCCGCUCUGGGUCAUCUCCGCUGCUACACAGCCAGCUCUUUGGACUCCUGGAUACUAGAAAGACCUGGGGGCUGAGGAAGGACCCCAGGCCCACGCCAGAAAGGAGCAGGCUCUUGCCCCAGCAAGCCCGGCAGAGGAGCCAUCAACAGUGAAGACCAAGCUGGUGUCUGCGGGGCACAGAGCUCCCAGGAGCAGUGUGCGUAAGACGGUGAAAAGGAAACCUCUAAACACUUAGCAGCCUGGUCACUUCUGAGUGGUGGAUUGCAGGUGGCUUUCAUAAAUACUUUGAGUUCCCCCUCUGUAUUUCUUCCUCUCUGUACAAGUAAGCCAUGUUCUUUCUGUAUGUUUUUAAUAAAAGAAAGCCAGUGGUGACUCAGCCAUCCAUCUCCAGUCCUGCUGAGGGACACGAGCAGUUGUGCUGGCACCUGUGACCUUGGCUGUGGGCUGGUCAUGGCCCCAUUCUGCCCGAAGCUCUACUGCAAGGGCAGGGAAGCUACUCCUCCGUGUCCUUCGGCCCCACAGUGCACCCAGGGUCCAGCCUGGCUUGUUCCCUGAGUGAAGACUCAAAAGCCUGAUGUGCUCUCUCUUGGCAGAGCAGGGGUGCAGGUGCUGAGGACACACAGGAUGUGGCUGGCCAUUGGGAGAUGCUCUUGAGCACCACUCUGGACUGAGAAUGAUGGGGAGAGGAGCUCUUGCCUCCAGGCAGCUGGCACCUGGUUGGAGAGCUCGGGUUACCCCACAGACCAUGUGGCGCAUGGUGGACUGGAUGAGGCCUUGCCUGUGAGGAUUGUCCGAGGUCGCAUAGGGGAGACCCAGGAGCCUCACUGCACUUGUCUUAGAAUGGCCAGAGGCCAAAACAGGUUUUCUUGAGUGACCUGAGGCAGCCCCCCAAGCUCGGGGUAAAUGGUCUCCCCCUCCCAGAACUCGCUGCUGGACACUUUGUGACAGAAGAGUGGCAAGAACAGUCAGCAAGAUGUUCCACUCUUAGACAGCUGGGCACCCUUGGGCCCUCCUCCUUGCCCUCUCCCCUCGUAUUCUUUGGGAGUGCCAGGCUCUAGACUUCCUCUGGCUGCCUCCGUCUGGUCUCCUGAUACCAAGCAGUUCUCUCCACCCCAAGCCCAGCAAGAGCACUUGGAAGGGAGCCCUGGGUCUCCAGUAGAGGCAGCCACCCCUCCACCUCCUACAUACAGGGCCAGCAUUCCCCACCCUAGUCCACCCUAGUCCACCAUUGUCCUGGUGAGGCCAACAUGUGACCUUGUUCAUUGUUUUGGAAAAGUAGUAAGUGUUCUGGCCUAAUGAUCCCUCCCUAUUGAACCCAGAACCCAAGCACAACUCCAUGUUCACACAACUCCCUUGACCCAGGAAGUCAGCUUUCUCAGAGAAGCCUGGCAUGUGCUUCCCCCUCCUUGCCACACCCUCGCCCCUAAGCCAAGAUCCUGCUCUAUCCCUUCUCCCUAAGCAAAGCUGCAGCUGAGUGUUUUUACUACUUUCUUUUUUUUUUUUGGUGCUGGGGAUCGAACUUGGGUCCUUGCGCUUGCACAGCAAGUGGCAAAACCACUGAGUUAAAUCCCCAGCCCCUAAACUGAGUGUUUUUAAGUGCUAGGGAAGACCUUGCUAGUCCUGCCUCAAUUCUGGGCAGAUUUGGGAAUCUGAACGUGUGAGGGAAAAGUGAUAGCAGAAUUGGACACUCCCCACAUCCAUGUGGUUUUUAAGGGAAAGAGGACAGUAGGAACGGAGACAGGGAUUCAGGCCAGUUCAGGAUUCGGCCACACAAAGUAGUGAGGGCCCCAACCUGGCGACCUCUUGGCUGGCUAUGGAGGCUGGGCAGGCCUCCCCUGAAGGGAAGGUAGUAGUGAGCUCUGGUGUCUACCUGGUGUGGCAACUAGCAUCUGCCUUGGGUGCUGCAGUUUCUCAGGAAUUAGACCCACUAGAGGCACAGGGCCUGAGCCCGGCCCAAGGCUAGGAGUUAGGAUGCACCUCUGAGUGGUCCAGACCUCUGAGGGACCCCAGAGGCCAAAACCGUCUGGCCUAGGGCAGAAGAGCUGGCUUCGCAGACAGAAUUGUGUCUAAAAAGUCCCCUUUGACCCCUAGAGCUGAGACCUACCAGGCCAGAGUCCCCUAGAGAAAACGGACUGUGUAGCUAAGCUGCUCCCUGCUCUGAGGCCAAGUAUCAAGCCUGUCAGGUCACAGCCCUGGCCUUGGCCUUCAGAACUGCAUGCAGGUGGCCUCCCGGGUAGAGGUGGGGAAUCACUUCUCUUGGGGCCCAAGCCAAACUCCACCACACUGGGGCCCUGGGGCCUGUGGCGGCAGAGCCAUAUUGUCUGAAGUACCAGGAGGGGCCAGGGGCGCUGAUGCCAAGGCGACACAGCAGCUGAACCUUUGCUGUCUUCCGUCAAGGUCUCCAGAUGCCUUCUUGUCAUAGGUUCCUAGUGCCCUGUCCCUUGCCGGCACUCCCCAAAUUCCCCCCCAGGCUUCAGUUUCUUCCUUUGUAGGCAGCCUGAUCUUGUAGAACCCACCUGUGUUCUGGGCAUGGACAGGUGUGGGUUGGAAUCCAGCUGAGUCACCCGUCGUGGGCAAGCCCCUUGUGCGUGCUGAGCAUGGUUUCCUGGUCUGUGAAUGAGGCUGGGGGUGGGGAGCUGUGCCUGAGUGACAGUGCAAAGGGGAGCUUGGCACAGUCCCUGGUCCCAAGGGAACACUCGGGUCUGUUUCAUUAUCCAAGCAGAUCUGAGGUCUGCUCUAGUUCUGCUCCUUUCCAAGCUGCAGACUGCACUGAGCCCGCAGAAGUGGGGGCUUCUUCUGCAACUGCCCCCCCACCACCAGAAAAGCAGCAGAAAUGGACCUUUGGGAGCCGCCUGGAGCCAGGAAAACCACAGCCAGCCAGCUAGGUCUUCCUCAGACUCGACCCCACAAGGGAGCUCUGGCCGGCGAAGCCGCCUUCCACCCUGCCACGUACCUUCACCUCUGGAAAAGGAGCACACCAGCGCCCCAGGCUCUGGUUUCUGUAAGAGCUGGUGAAAGUGGGGAGAGACCAGUGCUGAGUUCAGAUGGAUUUUACACAUCUUCCGUGUGGAGAGUGAGUGGUUGCCUCAGUUAAGACACAGCAUCACGUAGGUCAGACGAAAGUUCCUUGUUGGAUGCUUCAGCAGGGCUGUGUGGAGGAAACUCCGACCCCAUGCAAGAGUGGAGUUUUGGGUCUGGGCCAACAGUGAGAAAGACGGCCCACUGGUCGCAGAGAAUGACAACUUGGGCAUGACCCAGCUCCAUGGACUAGGUGGCAUCACUCCCAGAGAAAAGGGCUCCACCUGCAACCAAGCUCAAGGCUUUUCCCAGGAUUUCAGCUGGGCCCUGGGCAGACCCCACUGGAGGCUUCCAGAGACCGGGAGCAAGCUCUUAUGUGUGGAGGCAGGGUGACCACAACACCCUAUACACGUGCAUGGAGAGAUGCUGAAAGCUGAUACUCUAAGAAGGGAUGAUUUUCACAUUAGCCUUCAGCUUUCAUCCUACUGCAAGUAGCUGAAUAAAUAAACCAACCCGAUUAAAGUAACACCUUUGGAAUAAAACAAGGAAACUCCUCUGGCUGAUGAGAAAUGCCCUCCAGUGUCUGUAAACUUGGUUCAUCAUGGGUGUGCCUGAGACUAGCUGGUGUACCUGAAAUCCCCCUUUGAUACUUUACCCCAUUGCAAAGUGGCCCUCAAUGACCAUAAUGUCACAGUAAUCCCAACAAAGCUCAUCUUUCAAUGACCUCCUAGCUCCUUCAACCAAGAACUUCCAUUCUGAGUGCUUAGAUUGAAAAUCUUGGGAAUUACCUACCCUUAGGAAGCACUGACAAGUCCUGAAUGAUCUUAAACUUUUAGGCCCAAAUUUGGUUCAGAUUAUACUGAGGCUGAUCCUUUCCAGACUCUGUUUGCUAAUGAGAUAGUCCCAGCUGCCAUCACCUUUAGGUCUGACUUCUAGGCCUGGGCCGAGGUUCACAGUGAGAUGUGAUGCGACAGCUCCCUAUCCUGUUAGGUCGGUCCCUAUCACACAUGCUCUUCCCUGGAGCCCAGCUGCCUUGCAAUUUUGGGUGCAGAGUUUUAGGUUCCUUCUCUGGACAUUCCAAU